rnacentral:rRNA from 1 species
AUGUCUUACCUGCUCCCCCACCUGCACUCCGGCGAGGAGCGCCUCGUGCUAAUCCGCUUCGGCCACGACUGGGACGAAACUUGUAUGCAGAUGGAUGAGGUGCUCUCAGGGGUGGCUGAGACCAUCAAGAACUUUGCCGUGAUCUACCUUGUUGACAUCACCGAGGUUCCUGACUUCAACACCAUGUACGAGCUGUACGACCCGUCAAUGGUCAUGUUCUUCUUCCGCAACAAGCACAUCACGAUUGAUCUUGGGACAGGAAACAACAACAAGAUCAACUGGGCAAUGAAAGACAAGCAAGAGUUUGUUGACAUCGUGGAGACUGUCUACAGAGGAGCUCGUAAGGGCCGUGGUCUGGUGAUUGCUCCCAAAGAUUACUCCACCAAAUACCGGUACUGA